rnacentral:tRNA from 1 species
ACCCGGCUGGCUCAGUUGGUGGAGCAUGUGACUUUUGAUCUCAGGGUUAUGAGCUCAAGCCCCACGUUGGGCG